AUUUCUCAUAUAUAAAGAUGCUAGUUCUUUCAUGAUUAUGUGAUAGGUGGUGCAUGGCCGUUCUUAGUUCGUGGAGUGAUCUGUCUGCUUAAUUGCGUUUCAAUUUUUAUUAUGUAUACGUAUGACCCACGUUUACGCGUGCGAGUCUAGUAUGCUAUCAUUUGAAAGCAACGAACGUGACCGUAUCCUUUUAUUAUAUACGCACGCGUAUAUUUAUUCAUUAAAGGGACCGCUGUUUCUUUUUUUAAACCAGAGGAAGGUUACGGCAAUAACAGGUCUGUGAUGCCCUUCGAUGUUCCGGGCUGCACACGUGCUACAAUGAUUAUUUCAUUAAGUAUCUACUAUACUGC
rnacentral:rRNA from 1 species